rnacentral:lncRNA from 1 species
CGUGUACAUGAUUGGAUUUUGUAGAUAUAACUAACGCACAGAAAAAGUAUCAUGGAUUUCGAGACUUUCAUAUUCAAGGUUUUGAAUUCUACCCUUGUUGAAAACCUGUGGAGACCUCUACAGUUCCUUAAAACAUCAACUCCUUUGUAUUUCAUAAUAUGUGUCAUGAACAAAGACAUAUGUUCGAUUGAAUAAUGAUUUCC